CUGGAGACCGGCGCACGGGUGCGUAACGCGUAUGCAAUCUGCCUUUCACAAAGGGAUAGCCCAGAGAAAUUUGGAUUAAUACCUUAUAGUAUAUUCUUGUGGCAUCACGGGAUUAUUAAAGAUUUAUCGGUGAAAGAUGAGCAUGCGUCCCAUUAGCUAGUUGGUAAGGUAACGGCUUACCAAGGCGACGAUGGGUAGGGGUCCUGAGAGGGAGAUCCCCCACACUGGUACUGAGACACGGACCAGACUCC
rnacentral:rRNA from 1 species